rnacentral:rRNA from 1 species
CCUACGGGAGGCAGCAGUGGGGAAUAUUGGGCAAUGGGCGCAAGCCUGACCCAGCAACGCCGCGUGAAGGAAGAAGGCCCUCGGGUUGUAAACUUCUUUUGUCAGGGACGAAGCAAGUGACGGUACCUGACGACUAAGCUACGGCUAACUACGUGCCCGCAGCCGCGGUAAUACGGAGGUGGCAAGCGUUAUCCGGAUUUACUGGGUGUAAAGGGCGUGUAGGCGGGACUGCAAGUCAGAUGUGAAAACCACGGGCUCAACCUGUGGCCUGCAUUUGAAACUGGAGUUCUUGAGUACGGGAGAGGCAGGCGGAAUUCCUAGUGUAGCGGUGAAAUGCGUAGAUAUUAGGAGGAACACCAGUGGCGAAGGCGGUCUGCUGGACAGCAACUGACGCUGAGGCGCGAAAGCGUGGGGAGCAAACAGGAUUAGAUACCCCUGUAGUC